rnacentral:lncRNA from 1 species
UUUCUCAACAGUACCAAGCAGGACCUAGGUCAAGGACUACAAACCCCGACUAAAUUGAACGUGAGCACGGCGCCACGACAAUCACUACGCAGAGACCUCGCUAUGGGCACGCCGGGGUCACCGCACUUGGACUUUAUCCGACGGUCACCGUAUCCUAACUCGCCGAGAGAUGAUCCGUUCAUAUUGAGCCACAGUUCGCCGCGCGGCGCGGAGGCGGGCGCGUACCUCAGCAAGCUGGAGUUGGUGGGGCGCUGUCUGCAGCGCGCCGUGCACUCGCGCGACGUGCCCUGACCUGCGCACGCGCACGACUGGGCUCUACACUGCUGUACAGUCGAUCGAUACAUGUAGUCAUCGUGAUGGAGUUUCGUGCUAGUGUUUUCAUGCAAAACUACUAUUCUUCAAUUGACGUUUUCAAAAAGGGAUUUAAUUUUAUCGAUAUAAAUAGAUAUUUACAAAACCUAUUGCUUGUCGAAUAAUAACCGAGUCUGAAAUAAAAGUCAAGUACAUAAAUGGUAAAAGUUCGAAAUAUGUACUUUUUUAUACUUCAUUAUACAAAUUUCAAAAAUAAAAAGAAUGAAACAUGAAAAUAUUUAGAAGCAGGUUCUAAAAUGUGGAUGAUUUUUUUACUUUUUUCUAUAAUAACUCAGCAAAGUGGCCUUAUUAAACGCCUUAGAUCUUGCUCAUGUCAUUCAGUGUUAAUUUUUUUGUAUGAAAACACCGCUACCAGCAUUUGUUUUGUCAAUGCAUUUCCGUAAGAAGUUAUCUCAAGUAUUAGACUAGUGCCAAACGGAUUGUAUUCUGGUGUUACUUAAUUUAUUUGUUAGAAGUUAUUAAGAGUUUUUUUUUUUUUUCAUUUAAGCCGGAGAUGUACAAUUCCAUGUUCGUAUUCAUUUUAUAACUCCGCCUAAUUGUUUUGAUAGUUGUAAAUUUAUGUAAUAAUUACGAGUUGGUUCUGAAUUUUUAUGGCUAUUGAAAAUAUUUUCUUUUCUAUAUCUUAUUAUAAUUUGCCUUUUUAAUAAAAAAACUGUUAUUUCUCUUUAUGUUUCGCUAAUUCAGAAUUUACUCGAACAAUUCAUUGAGUAAUACAUUCGGCUAUUAUAUAAGUAAUUUUUUCGAAAGUAUAUUGACGAAAUUUUCAUUUGACAUUUCUUAUUGAUAAACGCAUAAACAAUUGGGCGUGCUUUUUUAUUUUUUUAUAUGUUACAAUUAUAACUUACAAAUUUCUCUCUACUGAAUAUGUAUUUAUAGUAUUUUUUUGUUAUUAUUGUUUAAGUGAUGAAAAAUUUAAUUGUGGCCGAAUGUAUACUCAAUAUUUUGGUGUCAAAGAUUUUGUUAUGUAUGUAAGUUUUACUAGACACCCACAUUUGUAUAUAUUUAGAUUUAUUGACAUUAAAUUGUUAUGACGAAGCAUUCGAACGAUUAGUUUUAGAUUUUUAGAUAUAAUUUUUCGAUUGAGAAUUCGCUUUAAAUUAUACCACCUCUGAAAUGUUGAUUAAUAGUUCUUUUAAACAAAAAAAUAGUAAUAUAUUAGAAAGUUAUGUAUUUAAUGUUUCAGAAAAUGUAUUUUUCUACAACAGAAAUAUGUUAAAACGGACAUUUGUAAAGAGUAGUUGUAAAUAUUAGGAUAACAGGCGUAGGGAACGCCAGCGCAAAUUCAUGCCAUGUUUAGCAUAAUACUAGAUUAGUUUUACUUUUUUAUAUAUGUUAAAUAACGAAAGUACAAGUUAGUGUAAGUCUGGAAUGCGUGGAACGGAACGUGCUGUGACGUCAUAAUAUAACAAACUUUUAUGUACCAAUUUAAUAAUUUAUACCGAUUAAAAAAUAUUGCCGUUAUAGAUAUAGGUUGUUAUUACAAUUUAUAAUAUUUAUUGUUCAUUCAGCGUCGUUAUAUUAAAUGUAACUAAUAAAGUUUCUAAUAUCGAUAGUAACAAAUUUUACGUAAGAAUAUCUGCCGUCGUCAGAUCACGUUCCAUUUCACGCACAUUGUUAAGAGUAAGCGACAUCACGACUAGCCUCGACACGACCGAUACAUUCGAACGUUCCGUAAAUUGAUGAGAUUCAUCGAAAAUAUUCAAAA